CAUCAUAUCAUGACAUGCAUGUCAACGACCAAUUCUCCCUUGCGGUCGAGAGAGUCAUUGACCAGAGUCGCAUCCUCGGCCACUCGAGAGAGUGGUAGCUGAAAUUGAUGUCGCUUGUCCUGUCGUACCGCACUCGGACACGCGUGGGUAGUGGUAACUAGAGUUGCGAGCAGCAGGGACCCCCAUCGCUGUGUAGCUAGUUAGCUACUCAGCACCUGUCCAUCAGGUCACUUGAGAGUAGUGGCGGCCUUUGGGUGGUACAGUUGUCAUCGAUCCGCCCUCUCGACUAUACAGGGGUUAUGGUGCAGAGAGGUGAGCGGGGUGACCAUCCGUGCAUACGCUAUUAUCAUUAUAUCUGCUGAUGUUGUUGUUGCUACUUUUGUUGCUGUUACUAUCUUAUGCUGUUGUUGCUUGCUUCUGCUGCUGGUAUUAGGUUAUGUGGUUGUUGCUGACUUAUGUUGCUAUGCUUGCUUAUGUCGAGAUAUGCCCUCGUUGUAAGUGUUAAGUCCUUGGUUUACUUAUUGGAAGUUUGUAUAUACCUUACAUAUUUUCUCUGUAGUUAUGGGCAGUACUGUAGCAGAUUAGUACUACUUCGGACCUUCUAUUACUAGUCUACGAUAUGGUUUCAGGUAACAGGUAGAUGAGUCAUGGAUGCUUGGAGAGUCCCGGCUGCCAGUCCCACGUCACGCUCGAGGAUAGUUUUUUUUUUGGAUUUUGUUACUGUUUGGGUGAUAUGUUAAUGUUGUGUAUUUUGUUUUUGAUCAAGUCGAUGUGGUUUUUUGGAGUCUAGUUUAGUGGUUGCAUGUAUUUUUGUUAGUGCCGUUGUUGGUCUUAUGUUCGUAUUGUUUUCUGUUUACCGUUGUGCAUGUUUAUUUUCAGCCGUAUAGGCUUAUUAAACUGCGUGGUUAUGUUUAUUUUGUUCCAGCCGAGUGGACUGACGAUAUAAAUUUCGUGGUUGUAUAUAUAUUCCAGCCUUAUGUGGCUGAUGUAUAUUUUGUA